rnacentral:lncRNA from 1 species
UUAAAUUUAUUUUUUUAAAUUUAUUUUUGCCAAGCUUUAAAAAUUUAGGGAUAAAAUAUGUUGUUCAAUUAUGGGUUUAUUUUUUAUACAUACACUUUAUAAAAUUAAGAAAUUUCUCUUUCCAUAGACCUGUUAAAAGGUCUUAUCAAGAAGAUUUCUCAGAGUUCCAUCGUGGCGCAGUGGUUAACGAAUCCGACUAGGAACCAUGAGGUUGCGGGUUCGGUCCCUGCCCUUGCUCAGUGGGUUAACGAUCCGGCGUUGCCGUGAGCUGUGGUGUAGGUUGCAGACGCGGCUCGGAUCCCGCAUUGCUGUGGCUCUGGCGUAGGCCGGUGGCUACAGCUCCGAUUUGACCCCUAGCCUGGGAACCUCCAUAUGCCGCGGGAGCGGCCCAAGAAAUGGCAAAAAGACAAAAAAAAAAAAAAAAAAAGAAUAUUUCUGCCUCUGAGAUAAUGGUAUGAUUUUCUUCCCUGAUGUUGAUAAUAUAGAAAAAUAUUUUGUAUUUUCAGUGUUAACCUUGCAUUUUCUAUUACCCGUAGAUUGAUGUAGAAUGACCUCAGAGUGGACAGUUGAGUCUGCCUCCAUCUAUUUUCUUCUCCUCCACGUGGCUAGCACAGACUUGAUAUUUGGUGGUGGCAAAGUUCUCAAAGAAAGAGCAAACACAUACGUGGAUUCCUAAGGUCUUGUCUGUUGGCAGGUCACUUCUGCCAGCACCAACCACAGAUGAGAAAAUAUAAAAACAACAAGAAAAGAAUGUCUUUAAGUCACAGUUCUUUAUUAAGAGCUUGGAAUCAGAAUGGACACUAUUCUAUUUAUAUUUUGCUGGCCAAAAUCAAUCUUAUGGAUCUCACGCUUUCAAGGAGGGCAAAUAAACUCUCGAUGUGAGGAACUAAAGUCACAGUUCAACAGACGUGGGUAUAAAUAGGUAAGGAAAUUGGGGCCAGAUUUCUACCCAUUUCAUCCCAAAUCGUGUUGUCUUCAGGAAAUUUAAUGCUAGGCCUCUGGAAGGAUGAGCCUAAUAUACAUACUAAGUAAAAGAAUGACUUCUGAAGUAGAAAAAGGUAGUGAUCUCUGGUGUCAAACUGCCUUGAUUCCAGUCCUGGUUCACCACUUACUAGCUGAGCAUAUUUGAAAGUUAUUUAUCCUCUUUUGCCUGGUUUGCUCCAUCCUUUAAAUGUAGCUAAUUUUAGCAUAUAUCACAGAAUUCUUUUCUUAGUUCAAACACAUAAAACAGUUACAAUGAUGCUGGGCACAUAAAAAUCGCCUGGUAUUUUUUGGUAAUUAUUUUGGGGUGAGAAACAGGAUCGCCAAUGUUAGAUCACUGGCAAUUUGAUUAAUUUCAGAGACCACUUAGAAUUCAUAGUGCUUAUACAGCUCUUAAUGUACUAUCUCAAAUAAUGUUAUCUGGACCCACUUCCCCCUCUAUGUGUAUAGUGUCCUUUGAGAACCUCAGUCAGCCUCAUGGAUUUACACUUGCUUAUGCCAGUGGCUACAGUCUUGUGAAUCAGUUACCCCUGACAUCUGCACCGUUGUGUCUAACAAUCGUAAUAAAUCCCCAUUGUGCAUGAAAACAUGUGCAUCUCCCAUCUGUGUGUCCCCCUCACCCCGUGUCUCCCUCCCCUUGAACGCUAUGCUUCGCAGUUCCUCCUCUAUGAACCCCAGCUUCGCUGAGCUUCUCCUAAUUGUUGUUGACAGUUUCUGCUAUUCUACUCUUUGCUCAGUGUUGUCUCUUCAGAAGGACCUUUCUUGACUGCCCACCUAAGGUAACCUCACCUCAUUCCAUGCUUCUUUUUACCGUAUCAUCCUGUGGUUCUCUGUGGCUUUUAUUCCAUUUGAAGUUUACUUUAUCUAUUUGCUUGCUUGUUAUGUACCUACCCCCAAUAUUUUGAAGGCACUUUGUUUUCACAGCUGUACUCUCAGAAUGUUGAUAGUGCUUAGAACAAAGGAGCCUUACAAAUGAUCCUUGAGCUGGGUCUAUUAAAAAGCAAUAUCAGAUCAUUUGAACCUUGACUCUAAAAUGUCUCCAAAGUGUAGGAUCUACCUAUGGUUAAGAAGAAUAUCUAUGAUAUGUAUUUGGAAAAUAAAUAUUCCAAUGAUUUGAUCUGUGUACCAGUUUUUAUUCAGCAGUUAUUUAAACAUGCCGUCAUAAUUAGAACAAUACCACGUCAUGUUUGAAGUCUAAUUGGCAUAACACUACCGAUAUAAAUAUUGUUUUGCCACUGUGAAAGAAAUAGAAAAUCCUGUAUGUUUUUUUUGGCUGUGCCUGCAGAAUAUGGAAGUUCCCAGGCAAGGGAUCAAACCCAAGCCACAGCAGCAGCCCCAGCCGCUACAGUGCCAAUGCCAGAUCCUUAACCCACUAUGGCACAGGGGAACUCCUAAUAUAUUUAUUUAUGUGUUUGAUAUUGUAUUUCUUUGAAUAUCAAGUCUUUAAAGGCCAUAGGUAAUUGAUCAAAAAAUAUCCAAAUAACUAGUUAAUUUUAAGUGGUUUCAGUGGAUGUACUUGUAGUUAUGAUGAAACAACACAGAAGCAUAUUUAAUUUCCCAGUGUUCUGACAAAUUAGUGGUAAUCUGCAUGAAAAUAAAUAUAUUUCUUUCAAAAAUCACCUAAUAAAUAGUUUCUUCAAGUGUUUUAACAAAUUAUAACAAAACCAAUCUUUUCUAAUUAAUUAAUAUUGAGGGAAAUACAACAGUAUUGUGUAGUAGAAAACGAAAAUUUGAUCUUCUGAAUUGAGUCCAUUAUUUCUUCAUGAUACAUUUUUGCUGGCUUAUUUUAUUUAUUCAUUUAGAAAUAAGCUGUGUACUACAUGAUAUUAGUUUCAAGUACACUACAUAGUGAUUUGACAUUGGUAUUAUACAUUACGAAAUGCUCACCACCAGAGGUCUAGUAACUGUCCCCAUACAAUGUUGUUACAGUAUUAUUGAAAAUAUCCCUUAUACUGUACAUUACAUCUCCAUGGCUAAUUUAUUUUGUAACUACAAAUUUAUAUCUCUUAAUCCUAGUCCCCUUCCCUAUUUGGCUCUCCCACCCCACUUCCUUUGGCAAACACUUAUUCGUUCUCCGCAUCUAAAUCUGUUUUCAUUUGGGGUAUUUUUGUUUGUUUUUGUAGUUCUUUUUUUUUUUUUUUUUUGUUCCUUUCUUCUUCUUUCUCUCUUCCUUGUGCUUCAGUGACUACCUUUAUGUAACAUUUGGAUUUCUUGCUCUUUUUUGUGUGUGUAUCUAUUACGGGUUUUUGAUUUGUCAUGAGGUUCAUAUAUAAUAACCUCUAUAGAGUAUACAUGUGAUUAUUUCAAGUUGAUGAUCUCUUAAAUUCACACACAUUUCAACAACUCUAUAUUUUUACUUCCCCUACCAUAUUUAAUGUCUUUGACAAAAUUUACAUGUUUUUAUUUGUGUAUCUCUUAAGUACUUAUUGUAGAUAUAGGUACUUUCGCUAGCUUUUUUUUUUUUUUAAACUUCCUUCUAGCUUUAUAAGUAAUUGGCCUGUACUGUAUGUCUGACCCUACCAAUGAGAUUUUCCUUUCAUGAUUUUUAUAUUUCUGGUUGUGUCCUUUUCUUUCUGCUUAGAGAAGUGAUUUUAAUAUUUCUUGUAAAGCCAGCUUGGUGGUGCUGAACUCUUAGCUUUUGUUGUCUGUGAAACUCUUUUAUCUCUUUUUCAAAUCUGAGCUGUGUUUAAAGGAUAGAACAAACUAGGCUAAGGAGGAGAAAUAAUGGCUGUCACCAGCUUCUCCAUCCCUGGGCGGUGGCAGGGGGGUCUCUUAUUUCUGCUGCCUCUCAAGGAGGCUCUCCAAGAUCCAAGUGAGUUUGACUCAGGCUCCUUUCAGACCACUGCCUCUAUGCUGGUACUUGGAUCCUGUGAGCUUUAGCAUGUGCCCUUUAAGAGUGGAGUCUGUUUCCUAUAUUCUCUGGUACUGUUUCCUAUAGCUCUCUGGUACUCCUCAGUAUAAGCCCCAGUGAUUUUCAAAGCUGGAUGUUCUGGGGGCUUGUCUUCCCUGUUAAGGAAUCCUGGGCUGGGUAGCUGAUGAUGUGAGGCUUAGACCCUGCACUCUUUGGGGAAAAUCUGUGCAUCUGAAACAUGAUUGUCUUUCCAUUUGUGGGUUCCUACCAAAGGAUAUGGGUCCUGACUAUUUUGUUUCUCUGCCCUUCCUGCCCAUUUUGUGGUUGCUUUGUGUAUGUAGUUGUAGAAAACCUUUCCUACUAGUCUUCAGGUCAUUCUCAUAGAUACUUCUCUAUGAGUAGUUGUAAUUUUGGUGUGCUCAUAGGAGGAGGUGAACUCAGGGUCUUCCUAUUCCAUCAUCUUAGCCACUUCCCUGAACUUAUGUUUUUAAAAGAAUGCCUUACUAAAGCCUUCAAAUUUUGAUUGGUUUUAAUUAUAUUUAAACUUAGUUACUAAGUAUGAAAUGCAAAAGGAUAUAUUCAGAUAUUUGAAUUAGAAUAUGUGAUGAAAAUUAAUUUAUAUUUCCAUCUAUGCCAAUCAAAAUCAAUAUGGUUCAAUUAAAAUUUCUUGACAUCUUGUUUACAUCUAAUUUUUGGUUUAUGAAAAUGAUGUGCUAUUUCAUCAUGCUGAAAUAAUAUAUAUAAUGUAUACAAAAAUAUUGAAUUCCAUAAUUAACUGGAAAAUUAUAUUUUGUAAGCUUCCAAAUAGAAGAUAACUAGCUUCUUUUUGAAAUAUAUGUGCCAGCCUUUUGCUUUUCUAAUUAUUAGCAUAAUUAUUUUUGUACAUUUGGCUAGAAUCACAAAUCCUGUCUUAGACUGCCAUUUUAGAAGUGUUUAUUCAUAUGUUUUGAGUAAAUGGGUAAUGAAAUUGAUGGAUGCUUUAAAACAUUUAUGACUCAUUAACAGAAACAAUCAUGAGGCUUAACAAGUAAUUUUAUGAAUAUUUUAUUCAGAAUAAAUUAACAUUAAUUAUUGAAAAAGAUCCUCUAAUAUAUUGAAAUGGAAAAUAUUUUCUAAAUUUCAUUUAGUGAAUUUUAAAAACAGAUUUAAAAAAAGGAGUUCCUGUGUGGCUCAGCGGUAAUGAAUCAGGGUACUAUCCAUGAGGAUGCAAGAUCCAUCCCUGGCUUUGCUCAGUGGGUUAAGGAUCCAGCAUUGCUUUGAGCUGCAGUGCAGGUUGCAGUUGAGGCUUGAAUCUGGUGUUGCAGUGGUUGUGGUGUAGGCCAGCAGCUGUAGCCCCGAUUUGACUCCUAGCCUGGGAACUUCCAUAUGCUGCAGAUGAAGCC